AGUGAACGCUGGCGGUAGGCCUAACACAUGCAAGUCGAACGGCAGCACAGGAGAGCUUGCUCUCUGGGUGGCGAGUGGCGGACGGGUGAGGGAUACAUCGGAAUCUACUCUGUCGUGGGGGAUAACGUAGGGAAACUUACGCUAAUACCGCAUACGACCUACGGGUGAAAGCAGGGGACCUUCGGGCCUUGCGCGAUUGAAUGAGCCGAUGUCGGAUUAGCUAGUUGGCGGGGUAAAGGCCCACCAAGGCGACGAUCCGUAGCUGGUCUGAGAGGAUGAUCAGCCACACUGGAACUGAGACACGGUCCAGACUCCUACGGGAGGCAGCAGUGGGGAAUAUUGGACAAUGGGCGCAAGCCUGAUCCAGCCAUACCGCGUGGGUGAAGAAGGCCUUCGGGUUGUAAAGCCCUUUUGUUGGGAAAGAAAUCCAGCUGGCUAAUACCCGGUUGGGAUGACGGUACCCAAAGAAUAAGCACCGGCUAACUUCGUGCCAGCCGCCGCCGUAC
rnacentral:rRNA from 1 species